rnacentral:lncRNA from 1 species
AUGCUCAAAGACGAAAUGUUGGUAAUGUGUAAAGCUCUUAGGCAUGAUGGGAAGUUUGUUGUCCUCACUGAGCUGCUUAUAUUAAUUGUCUCCUGCUCCAGUAUAGUAAAAUAUGGGAAGCCCGAGUUUCAAGGAGUGCCUGCUAACCCAGAGUGGGGGAUCUCAUCGCUUUAGGGUCCGAUUUCCAAGGCAUUUAACUAGAGAACUUCCUUUGCGGCCUUACUCUUGGGAGGAAGCAAUUGGAGUAUCUAUUCUUACAGAGGCUGACGACCAUAUUAUGCUCAGAGACGAAAUGUUGGUAAUUUGUAAAGCUCUUAGGCAUGAUGGGAAGUUUGUUGUUCUCACUGAGCGGCUUAUAUUAAUCGUCUCCUGCUCCAGUAUAGUAAAUUAUGGGAAGCCCGAGUGUCAAGGAGUACCUGCUAACCCAGAGUGGUUGGUAGAAACUGAAAUCGGGAUAGAUAGUGUAAUCCAUGCUGAUAAGGACGAUGAUGAAGUACAUAUUGUAGGAAGUAGCUCAGAUGCAUUGCUAAGGCAGAAUCACAUUUCGCACAAAAGA